GACAGAGGUGCCGAGCGUUAGGCGGAAUCACUGGGCUUAAAGCGUGUGUAGGCGGGCCGUUAAGUGUCUUGUGAAAUCCCCCGGCUCAACCGGGGAAUUGCUGGGCAUACUGGCGGUCUUGAGCGAUCUAGGGGGCAGAUGGAACAAGUGGUGGAGCGGUGAAAUGCGUAGAUAUCACUUGGAACGCCAAAGGUGAAGACAGUCUGCUGGGGAUCUGCUGACGCUGAGACACGAAAGCCAGGGGAGCGAACGGG
rnacentral:rRNA from 1 species